rnacentral:rRNA from 1 species
CCUACGGGAGGCAGCAGUGGGGAAUAUUGGGCAAUGGGCGCAAGCCUGACCCAGCAACGCCGCGUGAAGGAAGAAGGCUUUCGGGUUGUAAACUUCUUUUCUGAGGGACGAAGAAAGUGACGGUACCUCAGGAAUAAGCCACGGCUAACUACGUGCCAGCAGCCGCGGUAAUACGUAGGUGGCAAGCGUUAUCCGGAUUUAUUGGGUGUAAAGGGCGUGUAGGCGGGAAAGCAAGUCAGAUGUGAAAACUCAGGGCACAACCCCGGCCCGCCGUUGAAACUGGCAGUCUCGAGUUGGAGAGAAGUAUGCGGAAUGCGCGGUGUAGCGGUGAAAUGCAUAGAUAUCGCGCAGAACUCCGAUUGCGAAGGCAGCAUGCCGGCUCCACACUGACGCUGAGGCACGAAAGCGUGGGUAUCGAACAGGAUUAGAUACCCGAGUAGUC